rnacentral:rRNA from 1 species
UACGGAGGGUGCAAGCGUUAUCCGGAUUUACUGGGUUUAAAGGGUGUGUAGGCGGGUUUUUAAGUCAGAGGUGAAAUCCCAAGGCUCAACCUUGGAACUGCCCCUGAUACUAUUAGCCUUGAACAUUGAUGAGGUGGGCGGAACGGGUCAUGUAGCGGUGAAAUGCUUAGAGAUGACCCGGAACACCAAUUGCGAAGGCAGCUCACUGGGCAAUUAUUGACGCUGAGGCACGAAAGCGUGGGGAUCAAACAGG